rnacentral:tRNA from 1 species
UUCUUAAAGGUGUAUAUUUGCACAUGAAUAUUUGAAAUUCAAGGAAUAAAUGGAUUAACUUAAGAAA